CUACGGGGGGCUCCAGUGGGGAAUAUUGCACAAUGGAGGAAACUCUGAUGCAGCAACGCCGCGUGGAGGAUGACACUUUUCGGAGCGUAAACUCCUUUUAUAUAGGAAGAAGAUGACGGUACUAUAUGAAUAAGCGCCGGCUAGCUCCGUGCCAGCAGCCGCGGUAAUACGGAGGGCGCAAGCGUUACUCGGAAUCACUGGGCGUAAAGAGCGUGUAGGCGGAUUAAAAAGUCAGAAGUGAAAUCCUAUAGCUUAACUAUAGAACUGCUUCUGAAACUCUUAAUCUAGAAUAUGGGAGAGGUAGAUGGAAUUUCUGGUGUAGGGGUAAAAUCCGUAGAGAUCAGAAGGAAUACCGAUUGCGAAGGCGAUCUACUAGAGCAUUAUUGACGCUGAGACGCGAAAGCGUGGGGAGCAAACAGGAUUAGAUACCCGCGUAGUC
rnacentral:rRNA from 1 species